GAUGAACGCUGGCGGCGUGCUUAAUACAUGCAAGUCGAGCGAACAGACGAGGAGCUUGCUCCUCUGACGUUAGCGGCGGAUGGGUGAGUAACACGUGGAUAACCUACCUAUAAGAGUGGGAUAACUUCGGGAAACCGGAGCUAAUACCGGAUAAUAUACUGAACCGCAUGGUUCAAUAGUGAAAGACGGCUUUGCUGUCACUCAUAGAUGGAUCCGCGCCGCAUUAGCUAGUUGGUAAGGUAACGGCUUAUUACGGUAACGAUGCGUAGCCGACCUGAGUGGGUGAUGUGCCCCUUUUGAACUGACACCCGGUCCAGACUCCUAAGGGAGGCAGCAGUCGGCAAUCUUCCGCAAUGGGCGAGAUACUUACGGAGCAACGCAGCGUGAGUGAUGGAGGUCUUCUGAUCGUAAAACUCUGUUAUUAGGGAAAAACAAAUUUGUAAUUAACUAUGUACUUCUUGACGGUACCUAAUCAGGAAGCCCCGGCUAACUACGUG
rnacentral:rRNA from 1 species